rnacentral:ribozyme from 13 species
AAGGUUCCAGAAUAAAAUCCAUCUAAAUAUUUUUUUUUUUUUUUUUUUUUUUUUU